UACGGAGGAUGUAAGCGUUAUCCGGAUUGAUUGGGCGUAAAGCGUCUGUAGGUGGCUUUUAAGUCCGCCGUCAAAUCCCAGGGCUCAACCCUGGACAGGCGGUGGAAACUACCAAGCUGGAGUACGGUAGGGCAGAGGGAAUUUCCGGUGGAGCGGUGAAUGCGUAGAGAUCGGAAAGAACACCAACGGCGAAAGCACUCUGCUGGCCGACACUGACACUGAGAGACGAAAGCUAGGGAGCGAAUGG
rnacentral:rRNA from 1 species